AGAAGGGAGCUUGCUCCCGGAUGUUAGCGGCGGACGGGUGAGUAACACGUGGGUAACCUGCCUGUAAGACUGGGAUAACUCCGGGAAACCGGAGCUAAUACCGGAUAGUUCCUUGAACCGCAUGGUUCAAGGAUGAAAGACGGUUUCGGCUGUCACUUACAGAUGGACCCGCGGCGCAUUAGCUAGUUGGUGGGGUAAUGGCUCACCAAGGCGACGAUGCGUAGCCGACCUGAGAGGGUGAUCGGCCACACUGGGACUGAGACACGGCCCAGACUCCUACGGGAGGCAGCAGUAGGGAAUCUUCCGCAAUGGACGAAAGUCUGACGGAGCAACGCCGCGUGAGUGAUGAAGGUUUUCGGAUCGUAAAGCUCUGUUGUUAGGGAAGAACAAGUGCGAGAGUAACUGCUCGCACCUUGACGGUACCUAACCAGAAAGCCACGGCUAACUACGUGCCAGCAGCCGCGGUAAUACGUAGGUGGCAAGCGUUGUCCGGAAUUAU
rnacentral:rRNA from 1 species